AUUGAACGCUGGCGGCAUGCCUUACACAUGCAAGUCGAACGGCAGCACGGGUGCUUGCACCUGGUGGCGAGUGGCGAACGGGUGAGUAAUACAUCGGAACGUACCUUAUCGUGGGGGAUAACGCAGCGAAAGCUGUGCUAAUACUGCAUACGCCCUGAGGGGGAAAGCGGGGGAUCGCAAGACCUCGCGCGAUUAGAGCGGCCGAUGCCUGAUUAGCUUGUUGGUGGGGUAAAAGCCCACCAAGGCGACGAUCAGUAGCUGGUCUGAGAGGACGAUCAGCCACACUGGGACUGAGACACGGCCCAGACUCCUACGGGAGGCAGCAGUGGGGAAUUUUGGACAAUGGGGGCAACCCUGAUCCAGCAAUGCCGCGUGAGUGAAGAAGGCCUUCGGGUUGUAAAGCUCUUUUGUCAGAGAAGAAACACCGGCUCUAACACAGUCUGGGAAUGACGGUACCUGAAGAAUAAGCACCGGCUAACUACGUGCCAGCCGCCGCAGUAA
rnacentral:rRNA from 1 species